UGCAGCAUAAUCUUGCAAAUUGUUUAUCACAAUCGUACAAUUUAGAUAUCUUUACUGCAACAAACAAUAUAAUGGGAUGGAUACAUUCUGUAUUAGAAAGUUCGAUUUUUUGUCAUUAGCUGAUUUAUUAAUUCAGUACUGAUGAAUCGUGCGUAUACUGCGCUGGCAAAAAGCAGUAUUAGGAAGGGAAGUGGGAGCCAUUUAUAAAUUUACCUCCCACGCCUACAGACACCACAAGCGCGGAUCCUGGAAAUCGAUUUGUUGGCUACAUGUUCACUGCUUCCAUGAUAAUUGUGCCGCACCUGUAGGCUGUAUGAAAUCGUUAAACGAAGAAGUCAUAUUGUACCUUGUACUAUAUCUACCCACCGUACACAAAAUAUUUUGCAUCCAUUCCACGACUAUUAUUAUGCUCAUAUCUAAAGGAGGCAUUGAAGCUUUCCUAUUACUACUAGAAUAAUUUAUAAUAAAAUGCAGUUUUUCAUGAAGAGAAACUUUUAUCUUAAAACUGUGCUAGUAAACGAGGAACAUAGUUUUAAGUAAGAUGGUAAGAUGUGUUAUGGCGCAUUAACGAUGAGCAGGGGCUUUUUCUUUCAGGAAUCGUUAUCAUGCACUUUGAAGUUUGACAGGCCUUAUUGUUAAGUGGCAGAUACGGUCCAUACGGAAUACAUUAUUAAUUGUUUUUAUAUAUUUUUACAUUGCAGAGAUCGAGAUUUUUUAUCCAAACUCAUCGAAGUCACCGUUGUCAGUUGCCAGCUUUACUCUCGCCGGCCGAACGAAUUCAGCAACCGAAAUUACCAAAAAUGUUUUUUGAAGAACCUGUCGGCACUGUUUUCUACCGAUCUCAGGAUGCCUUGGAAAAUUUCCGAAUACGUGUAACAAUCCGCAAAGUCAUAUUCGGCGCUACAUGGGACAACAAAUCAUCCCAGUCGCAGCACCAUGUUGCGCCGAAGCAAACCCCGAUCGACAAGAGUCUGCAGGAGGAGACCAGAGUCUUUUCGUGGCAAGAAAAAGUUUUCAGCAAGGUAUGCGCUUUGUAUCGCAAGAGCGAAAG